GCAGUCUCAGCUCCGGCUCCGCGCGGUUCAGCAGCCGGCUCCCUUCCCUCCGCGCGCAGGCGCGGUCCUUACUUAAGAACCCGCGGCGUCGAGGCCGCCAAACCCACAGCGCCUCCUAUCGGCCCUAGACUUAAUCACCAGUCUCGAGUGUUUUCUAACUCGCCACCCUUCAGCUUCUAGUGCCAGGUAUCACUAGAAGAGACAGAAGGGCCCAGCCUCAGUUCCCGCAAUGGGCCAAGUGGAAUUUGAGUUGGCCUGCGCUGCUGUAAAGCAGUUGAAGGGACCUGUGAGUGAUCAGGAGAAGCUGUUGGUGUAUAGCUUCUACAAACAAGCCACCAAGGGCGACUGCAACAUCCCUGCCCCACCUGCCACAGAUGUGAAAGCCAAGGCCAAGUGGGAAGCAUGGAACAAGAAAAAAGGGAUGUCCAAGAUGGACGCCAUGAGGGUAUACAUUGCAAAAGUGGAAGAACUGAAGAAAAAGGAAACUUGUUAAGGACGACAAAAUGUCAAACAGGAUGAAAUACAAUAGCACGGCUCCUCUGGUAGGGAAAUGAAAUGGGCUUCCUAAAAGACCUUGCUGGCUGAAAUGUCUGGAAACUGUAGCCACCAUAGCUGAGACAUCAAUAAAUUAACUGCA